UUCGGGGACAUUCCUUGCCCUCUCUGGCCCGACAGAGACUGACUAGCCCCUCCCCCUUGCUGGCGGGAAAGCAUGGUGUGUGCUCCUCUUUUGGAGCUGAUGAGCCCUAGAACUGGGAACCCUUUCUCUGCCUUCUGGUGGCACUUUGGUCUGUUCUUCACUGUCGGGAAACAAGAAGAGCGCCCCUGGACCUAACACCCCCACUCCGGAUCUUCCCACCCGGGUCUCAGGCAUCACAGUCUAUCUCAAGAAGAA